GACGAACGCUGGCGGCGUGCUUAACACAUGCAAGUCGAACGGAAAGGCCCUGCUUUUGUGGGGUGCUCGAGUGGCGAACGGGUGAGUAACACGUGAGUAACCUGCCCUUGACUUUGGGAUAACUUCAGGAAACUGGGGCUAAUACCGGAUAGGAGCUCCUGCUGCAUGGUGGGGGUUGGAAAGUUUCGGCGGUUGGGGAUGGACUCGCGGCUUAUCAGCUUGUUGGUGGGGUAGUGGCUUACCAAGGCUUUGACGGGUAGCCGGCCUGAGAGGGUGACCGGCCACAUUGGGCCUGAGAUACGGCCCAGACUCCUACGGGCGGCAGCAGUGGGGAAUAUUGCACAAUGGGCGGAAGCCUGAUGCAGCAACGCCGCGUGCGGGAUGACGGCCUUCGGGUUGUAAACCACUUUCGCCUGUGACGAAGCGUGAGUGACGGUAAUGGGUAAAGAAGCACCGGCUAACUACGUG
rnacentral:rRNA from 1 species